UACGUAGGGGGCAAGCGUUGUCCGGAAUCAUUGGGCGUAAAGCGCGUGUAGGCGGUCCGGUAAGUCCGCUGUGAAAGUCGGGGGCUUAACCCUCGGAUGCCGGUGGAUACUGUCGGGCUUGAGUACGGAAGAGGCGAGUGGAAUUCCUGGUGUAGCGGUGAAAUGCGCAGAUAUCAGGAGGAAGACCAGUGGCGAAGGCGGGUCUCUGGACAGUUCCUGACACUGAGACACGAAGGCCAGGGGAGCAAACGGG
rnacentral:rRNA from 1 species